rnacentral:rRNA from 1 species
UACGGAGGGUGCGAGCGUUGUCCGGAAUCAUUGGGCGUAAAGGGUGCGUAGGCGGCGGGGUAAGUCUGAUGUGAAAUCCCGGGGCUCAACCCUGGAACUGCAUUGGAUACUGCCUUGCUAGAGAGCUGGAGAGGAAACUGGAAUUUACGGUGUAGCAGUGAAAUGCGUAGAGAUCGUAAGGAAGACCAGUGGCGAAGGCGAGUUUCUGGACAGCUACUGACGCUGAGGCACGAAGGCCAGGGGAGCAAACGGG